rnacentral:rRNA from 1 species
GAUGAACGCUGGCGGCGUGCCUAAUACAUGCAAGUCGAGCGAACAGACGAGGAGCUUGCUCCUCUGACGUUAGCGGCGGACGGGUGAGUAACACGUGGAUAACCUACCUAUAAGACUGGGAUAACUUCGGGAAACCGGAGCUAAUACCGGAUAAUAUAUUGAACCGCAUGGUUCAAUAGUGAAAGACGGUUUUGCUGUCACUUAUAGAUGGAUCCGCGCCGCAUUAGCUAGUUGGUAAGGUAACGGCUUACCAAGGCAACGAUGCGUAGCCGACCUGAGAGGGUGAUCGGCCACACUGGAACUGAGACACGGUCCAGACUCCUACGGGAGGCAGCAGUAGGGAAUCUUCCGCAAUGGGCGAAAGCUUGACGGAGCAACGCCGCGUGAGUGAUGAAGGUCUUCGGAUCGUAAAACUCUGUUAUUAGGGAAGAACAAAUGUGUAAGUAACUAUGCACGUCUUGACGGUACCUAAUCAGAAAGCCACGGCUAACACGUG